rnacentral:rRNA from 1 species
GACGAACGCUGGCGGCGUGCCUAAUACAUGCAAGUCGAGCGGAUGACGGAGGAGCUUGCUCCUCCUGAUUCAGCGGCGGACGGGUGAGUAACACGUGGGCAACCUGCCCUGUAGAUUGGGAUAACUCCGGGAAACCGGGGCUAAUACCGAAUAAUCCUUCGGACCUCAUGGUCCGAUGUUGAAAGACGGCAUCUCGCUGUCACUACAGGAUGGGCCCGCGGCGCAUUAGCUAGUUGGUGAGGUAACGGCUCACCAAGGCCACGAUGCGUAGCCGACCUGAGGGGGUGAUCGGCCACACGGGGACUGAGACACGGCCCAGACUCCUACGGGAGGCAGCAGUAGGGGAUCUUCCACAAUGGACGAAAGUCUGAUGGAGCAACGCCGCGUGAGUGAAGAAGGUUCUCGGAUCGUAAAACUCUGUUGUGAGGGAAGAACAAGUACCGGAGUAACUGCCGGUGCCUUGACGGUACCUCAUUAGAAAGCCACGGCUAACUACGUGCCAGCCGCCGCGGUAACAC